UACGGGGGGAGCAAGCGUUGUUCGGAAUUACUGGGCGUAAAGGGCUCGUAGGCGGCCAACUAAGUCAGACGUGAAAUCCCUCGGCUUAACCGGGGAACUGCGUCUGAUACUGGUUGGCUUGAAUCCGGGAGAGGGAUGUGGAAUUCCAGGUGUAGCGGUGAAAUGCGUAGAGAUCGGGAGGAACACCGAUGGCGAAGGCGGGUCUCUGGGCCGAUACUGACGCUGAGGAGCGAAAGCGUGGGGAGCGAACAGG
rnacentral:rRNA from 1 species